rnacentral:rRNA from 1 species
AGUGAACGCUGGCGGUAGGCCUAACACAUGCAAGUCGAACGGCAGCACAGUAAGAGCUUGCUCUUACGGGUGGCGAGUGGCGGACGGGUGAGGAAUACAUCGGAAUCUACUUUUUCGUGGGGGAUAACGUAGGGAAACUUACGCUAAUACCGCAUACUACCUACGGGUGAAAGCAGGGGAUCUUCGGACCUUGCGCGAUUGAAUGAGCCGAUGUCGGAUUAGCUAGUUGGCGGGGUAAAGGCCCACCAAGGCGACGAUCCGUAGCUGGUCUGAGAGGAUGAAAAGCAACACUGGAACUGAGACACGGUCCAGACUCCUACGGGAGGCAGCAGUGGGGAAUAUUGGACAAUGGGAGAGAGCCUGAUCCAGCCAUACCGCGUGAGUGAAGAAGGCCUUCGGGUUGUAAAGCCCUUUUGUUGGGAAAGAAAAGCAGCAGGUUAAUACCCCGCCGUUCUGACGGUACCCAAAGAAUAAGCACCGGCUAACUUCGUG